rnacentral:rRNA from 1 species
AGCGGAGGAAAAGAAACUACCAAGGAUUCCCCUAGUAACUGCGAGUGAAGCGGGAAAAGCUCAAAUUUGGAAUCUGGCAGUCUCUUUUUUUCUUCCUUGGCUGUCCGAGUUGUAAUCUAGAGAAGUGCUUACCCGUUCUGGACCAUGUAUAAGUCUCCUGGAAUGGAGCCUCAUAGAGGGUGAGAAUCCCGUCUUUGACAUGGACUGCCAGUGCGUUGUGGUGUGCUCUCAAAGAGUCGAGUUGUUUGGGAAUGCAGCUCUAAAUGGGUGGUAAACUCCAUCUAAAGCUAAAUAUUGGCGAGAGACCGAUAGUGAACAAGUACCGUGAGGGAAAGAUGAAAAGGACUUUGGAAAGAGAGUUAAACAGUAUGUGAAAUUGUUGAAAGGGAAACGCUCGAAGUCAGUUAUGUCGGCUAGGGAUCAGCCUUGCACUCUUUUGCCAGGUGAACUUCCUUGUCUGACAGGCCAACAUCAGUUUUGACUGCCAGAAAAGGGCAGAGGGAAUGUGGCACCUUUUGGGUGUGUUAUAGCCUUUUGUCAUAUGUGGUGGUAGGGACUGAGGGAAGCAGCGUGCCGUGAGGCCGGGUUUCGACCACGUUCACGCUUGGGAUGUUGGCUUUUAAUGGCUUUGAUCGACCCGUCUUGAAACACGGACCAAGGAGUCUAACAUGGGUGCAAGUGUUCGGGUGGUGAAAACCCUUGCGCACAAUGAAAGUGAAAGUUGAGAUCCCUGUCGCGGGGAGCAUCGACGCCCAGACCUGAGCUUUCAGCAAUGGAUCUGCGGUAGAGCAUGCAUGUUGGGACCCGAAAGAUGGUGAACUAUGCCUGAAUAGGGCAAAGCCAGAGGAAACUCUGGUGGAGGCUCGUAGCGAUUCUGACGUGCAAAUCGAUCGUCGAAUUUGGGUAUAGGGGGCGAAAGACUAAUCGACC